rnacentral:rRNA from 1 species
AUCCUGGCUCAGAUUGAACGCUGGCGGCAUGCUUUACACAUGCAAGUCGAACGGUAACAGGUCUUCGGAUGCUGACGAGUGGCGAACGGGUGAGUAAUGCAUCGGAACGUACCCAGUCGUGGGGGAUAACGUAGCGAAAGCUACGCUAAUACCGCAUACGAUCUAUGGAUGAAAGCGGGAGACCGUAAGGCCUCGCGCGAUUGGAGCGGCCGAUGUCAGAUUAGGUAGUUGGUGGGGUAAAGGCUCACCAAGCCAACGAUCUGUAGCUGGUCUGAGAGGACGACCAGCCACACUGGAACUGAGACACGGUCCAGACUCCUACGGGAGGCAGCAGUGGGGAAUUUUGGACAAUGGGCGCAAGCCUGAUCCAGCAAUGCCGCGUGCAGGAAGAAGGCCUUCGGGUUGUAAACUGCUUUUGUACGGAACGAAACGGUCUGGAUUAAUACUCUGGGCUAAUGACGGUACCGUAAGAAUAAGCACCGGCUAACUACGUG